GAUACCUUUGGCCUCAAGCCAUUUUAAUUCUCUCUUCUGGCCUGGAUUUCCAAACAAAGAACUCCACCUACAGCCAGCAGCAUCCCUGCCCAUGGCUUCUACUCUCAUCUAUGCUGUGUUCAUUCCUUCUCAUCCAGGGCUGUAUCUCCAUAGUACAACUGGAUCUGAAGUUCCAUAUCAGUAGAGGUUCCCUCAGUUUUCCCUGGCUCAGAAGCUGGACUUCCUAUAUGUCCAGGAGAUGCUGAUAAGUGUUCAUCUACCACCCAAGUAACUAGAAUUCCUGAGCUGAUGAUACAAAUUCCACUUAAUGUUGAAUUCUGUUGCCAUGGCUAUGAUAGUCUUAAUAUUGUAGACCUCGCAGCAAGGUUGCAAUUAGUAUUUGGAUUCAGAAAAGAAACAUAAUGAUCUCAUCUUGAAGAAACACUUGCUUAAUACUAUUUUGGACUAAGGACUCCUUUCAAGUUGCCAACCAGCAGGAUCUUUGGUCAAAAAAAAAAAAAAAAUCACUCCAUCAUUUUGAACCCAUGUUCUCAGAAUAUUCUCUCAAACUUCAUUGGGAUCACAAAAUAAAGCAUACUUCUAGCUUGGUCUA